rnacentral:tRNA from 1 species
AAAAAGUUAGUUACAUUUAUAACAUUAAAUUGUCAAUUUAAAAUUACUAUAUUUAUAGUACUUUUUG